rnacentral:rRNA from 3 species
AAACUUUCAACAACGGAUCUCUUGGUUCUCGCAUCGAUGAAGAGCGCAGCGAAAUGCGAUACCUAGUGUGAAUUGCAGCCAUCGUGAAUCAUCGAGUUCUUGAACGCACAUUGCGCCCUCCGGCAUUCCGGGGGGCAUGCCUGUUUGAGCGUCGUUU